rnacentral:lncRNA from 1 species
AUGUCACUACAGCAGGGCCUUGUGUGAGUCUGGGAGCGUAAUUAGAUGGAGGCAUUACAAUUGUCCUCUGUUGAAAGCUCCUCUAUGACUUUGUCUGCCCUUACAUCAUUAGUUUGUUUUUAAUCUAAUGCUUUGCCUCUUCCUCCCUCUCUCCUGCUCGCCAUCUCCCUCCAAAUCAAAUCAUAUCAACAAUGAAAGAAACCAAGGAAGCUCAGAGUUUUGCAGCUUUAAGAAAACUGGAUCACGGAGAGAUUUUCACAAGACUCUUCAGAAACAGACUUUUGAGUCAGAAACUCUGGAGUGCAGUGAACCGGCCGCUCAGCCUGCAGCCUGAUGAGCGGCUAGAAAACCUGCUGCAGCUUCUCAGUGCUGAGGACUUUGAGAAGAAGAAAGAGGAGGCCCGCAAGACCAAUCGACCAGCUGAGCUCUUUGCCCUGUAUCCAUCUGUGGACGAGGUGGGUGCGGGUUUCCAUAGGCAAGAAUAUUGGCGACAACAAAAAACUGAAGCAUUUUUCUGCUCUCUGCCCCUGCAGAGAACUGUGUGAAUGUCAGGGUGUCAGGGUGCUCACUGUUUUUCACAGAGCUGCUUGCUGAUCAUUAUACUGAUGGGAUUCUUACAACAAUAACUAGAAAUAGCACUUAAUCCUCUAAACAUUUCA